CUCAGUUUAUACCAUAGGCCUCUUCAUUUCAGAAACACUUAUUUUUCCAUCAAAAUAUACUGCUUCCUCUGUUCACAUGUUUACAUCAUAGGAAAGACCCGUGAUUAUUGUCUAACAGUAAAACCCACUUUUUCCUCAAGAUUUCUUUACUUUCUAUAACUGUUUUACUUAAUUCCAGUUGAUUGUUAGGGAGCAAGGAAUGGCUGCAUAAACUGUAGAUCUUUAUCACUUAGUGCUUGAUAUGAAAAUCUCUGUGUUGUUUAUAUCUGAUGUAGUCACAUAAUGUUCCUCUACUCGUGAGAAAAUAGAAAUUAUGAUCUUAAAA
rnacentral:lncRNA from 1 species